AGAGUUUGAUCCUGGCUCAGAUUGAACGCUGGCGGCAGGCCUAACACAUGCAAGUCGAGCGGUAACAGAUCCAGCUUGCUGGAUGCUGACGAGCGGCGGACGGGUGAGUAACGCAUAGGAAUUUACCCGAUAGUGGGGGAUAACCUGGGGAAACUCAGGCUAAUACCGCAUACGUCCUACGGGAGAAAGGGGGCCUUGGCUCCCGCUAUCGGAUGAGCCUAUGCCGGAUUAGCUGGUUGGUGAGGUAAUGGCUCACCAAGGCGACGAUCCGUAGCUGGUCUGAGAGGAUGAUCAGCCACAUCGGGACUGAGACACGGCCCGAACUCCUACGGGAGGCAGCAGUGGGGAAUAUUGGACAAUGGGCGAAAGCCUGAUCCAGCCAUGCCGCGUGUGUGAAGAAGGCCUUCGGGUUGUAAAGCACUUUCCAGCGAGGAAGAACGCCUAGGUGGUUAAUUACCCAUUAGGAAAAGACAUCACUCGCAAAAGAAGCACCGGCUAACUCCGUGCCAGCAGCCCCGGUAAUUCCGGAAGGUGCAAGCG
rnacentral:rRNA from 1 species